rnacentral:miRNA from 1 species
UUUACUGGGUUGGCCAAAAAGUUCAUUCAGGUUUUUCCAUACCAUCUUACAAACUGUUUGGCCAACUCAAUACAUU